GUUUACCUUUUGGAGGAACUGCCGAAUUUUUUUUUAAAGCGAAGGCACCGUUUUAGUCCCGCCGACAGUGUAUGAGGGUUUCCAUUUCUCCAUGUCCUCACCACUGGUUACUGUCUGAUUAUCGGAUUCUAGUCACCCGAACAGAGUAAGACCACAAAGAAGGGAUGGUGGGCUCCUCAGCUUCUCGUAAAGACAUCCAACUGUCCCCCUGCCCAAAUGGCUCUGAGGACAAACCAUGCGGAGAGCACAGUCAGCACAUUUUCAACACCCGGGGUGUAACCGGAGACACGAGCUGGAUCCCACAGGAAGAGCUGAGGCAGAAAGGCUCCUGGAGGCCGUCGUGGAGGCGACUGCUGAGUUGACUACUGGAACAUCAGCUCUCUG